UGUGCGACGGGUGUUGGAGUUCACCCUCAACCGCCCUACCUCUUGACGGGGCAGAUGACUCCUACGGGCUU
rnacentral:ncRNA from 2 species